rnacentral:lncRNA from 1 species
AACAACAACAACAACAACAACAUACCCAGUGAAAUCCCACUAGGUGGGGUCUGGGGAGGGUAAAGUGUACGCAGACCUUACCACUACCUCGUGGAGGUAGAGAGGCUGUUUCCGGAAGACCCUCAGCUCAAGUGUAACAAAGCCAAGUAAAGGAAGAGAAUUAUAUAAAGCAUAACAUCCAAUAAGAAAAAUAGUGCAUAAUCAACAAAGGGGGCAAUACAUCAAGAAAAUAAUGCGAGAAGUGAAACGCAGUAAACAACAUAAGGCAAUAGGGAUCACAUACAAGAACUACAAGUGUACGGCUAAGACUCCUACAAACGCUAACAACCCAUACCCUCGCCAGGAAAGACAGCACGCUAACCCUACUAGCCUUCAACCUUAAUACGUGACCUCCACUCCUUCCUAUCUAGAGUCAUGUCCUCGGUAAUGUGUAGCUGGGCCAAGUCCUGUCUAAUCACCUCUCCCCAAUACUUCUUGGGCCUACCUCUACCCCUCCGCGUACCCUCUACUACCAGCCCCUCGCACCUCCUCACUGGGGCGUCCGCGCCCCGUCUCUUCACAUGUCCAAACCAUCUCAGUCUCGCUUCCCUCAGCUUGUCCACCACNNN